rnacentral:rRNA from 1 species
UACGUGGGGGGCAAGCGUUGUUCGGAAUUAUUGGGCGUAAAGGGCGCGUAGGCGGUUUGACAAGUCUGAUGUGAAAUCUCUGGGCUCAACCCAGAGUCUGCAUUAGAAACUGUCGGGCUUGAGUAUGGGAGAGGUGAGUGGAAUUUCCGGUGUAGCGGUGAAAUGCGUAGAUAUCGGAAGGAACACCUGUGGCGAAAGCGGCUCACUGGACCAUAACUGACGCUGAGGCGCGAAAGCUAGGGGAGCAAACAGG